rnacentral:lncRNA from 1 species
ACUGGGUAAAUUCACCCAUAAUUUGGGUAAAUUCACCUGAAACCGGGUAAAUUUACCCCCAGUCCAGGGAAAUUCACUCUAGAACUGGGCAAAUUCAUCCCUAAACUGGGAAAAUUAAUGCACAAACUGGGUAAUUUCACCCCUAAACUGGGUAAAUUCAACUGAAAACGGGUAAAUUUACCCCCAAACCAUGGAAAUUCACCCUCAAAUUGGGAAAAUUUACCCCCAAACCAGGGAAAUUCACCCUAGAACCGAGAAAAUUCACCCCUAAACUGGGUAAAUUGACCUGAAACAGGGUAAAUUUACCCCUACACCAGGGAAAUUUACCCCAACCAUGGAAAAUUCACCCCAAAACGAUCUCGGGAGCCUCCCGGGAAGGGGUCCCACAUUGGGGGGGGGGGACACCCAGGGCCGGACGGACGGAUGGACGGGCGCGGGGCGUUUUUAAAAAAAAAAAAGAGAUGCGUUUAUUCCAUGAUCGGUACAGACCAGAUGCAUAUUCACUGUAGGAAAUAAAACCAUCGAGUUACUCCAGAGCUCGCCCAAUACUGACGCGCCAGGAUUGUACUGUAUAGUGGGUAUUUAUGGCACAUAACGUCGAACAGUUCCAAGAAUAAAAUUAAAUCGAAGAACGCGCGCCGCCGCCCGCGGAGGUGGGGGGGAAGCCCCCCAAUGCCCGCGGUGGCAGUCGGUAUAAAAACCUUUUUUUUUUUUUUUUUCUCAACUUUUUCCUUUUUCUUCUUUUUUUUUUUUUUUUUUGUUUUUUUUUUUUGUUUUUUUUUUUUUUUUUGUUGUUUUUUUUUUGGCGGGGGGGGGGGGGGGUGGUUGGUGUUUCGAAAGAGUCAGGAGGAGGAAAACGAGGCGCUGUUAGAAAAGGUUCUCUUCGAAUAUUGCCAACAAGUCGCUCUGGAAAUUCAUGUCGAUCGUAGCUGCCAUCUGCGGGGAGAGGAGGAAGGGGGCGUCAAGGGGGCGCCGAGGACGUCAGGGUGGCAUUGGGGGCAUCAAGGUGACAUUGGGGGCAUCAAGGUGGCAUUAGGGGCAUCAGGGUGGCAUUGGGGGCAUUGGGGUGGCAUUGGGUUGGCAUUGGGGGCAUCAGGGUGGCACCAAGGGAGUCAAGGUGGCAUUGGGGGCAUUGGGGUGGCAUUGGGGGCAUCAAGGUGGAAUUGGGGGCAUCAAGGUGGCACCAAGGGAGUCAAGGUGGCAUUGGGGGCAUCGGGGUGGCACUGGGGGCAUCAAGGACAUCAUGGUGGCAUUAGGGGCAUCAGGGUGGCACAGGGGGCAUCUAAGUGGCACCAGGGACAUCAAGGUUGCACCAAGAGAGUCAAGGUGGCAUUGGGGACGUCAAAGUGGCACCAAGGAUGUUAAGG